rnacentral:rRNA from 1 species
UAUGGAUUUGGUUUUGGUCCUGUGUCUUGGCUUUAGCUACAAAAAAUACAUGGUACUUUAGGGGGUCCGGUGAGUAGGGAAUGGUUAAAAUUAAAUCAAGUUUUAAUAUCUUGUUUUAUUUUUACUUUCUGGCAUAAUUGUUUUUAUACGACGCCUAUUUUUAUUCACUUUUACACCAGUGUUGGAGAUUGAACAAUGAACUUUGGUUUGAUUCAGUGAGUUGGUGGUGAAAGACCUGGUAAAGUUUGUGCCAGCAACUGCGGUUAGACAAACAGGUCGAGUUAAGAUUUUUGCAGCAUAAAGUAGGGUUAGGAGCUAGUAAAUUUAUUUUUUGGGAAUUUAAGAUAGUUUGAGGGGUGCAAUCCUAAGAACUGUGGUUUUAUCUAGUAUUUCCUUUUGUCUGAUGCCCUGAAACUCUGGUUAAAAACCGGGAUUUGGUAUCCCGUUAUUCGGAGUGUAAACUUUGGUUUGUUAUCUGCUGGGGUACUACGAGCGUUUAUCUUUGGCUUGGCUUAAAACUCAAAAAACUUGGCGGUGUUUCAUAUCCUCCCAGGGGAACCUGUCUCGUAAACGAUGAUCCACGUUUUACCUUACCUUGCCUUGAACUAUUUUUAGGAGUAGUCAGCUUGUAUACCGUCGCCGUUAGAUCACCCUUGAGGGAUUAAAAGUGGUCGGGAAGAAGAGUUAAGGUGUGACUGGGUUGCUUUAAUGGCAAUUGAGGUUGUGCUUGUUGUGUUAUGGUGCCUUAGGGCUUUAUGGCUGUUGUUCUUCAAGAUGCCAGAUCAAGGUGCAGCUUAUGGCUGGGUGAUGAUGGGUUACAAUAACUUACUUGUUAUACGGAUUUUUCAUUGCAAUAUGAGAUUUAAAGGCGGACUUGGAUGUAAUGUUAGAUUAGGAAGCUGUAGUGAACUAGGUUUUGAGAUGUGUACAAAUCGCCCGUCGCUCUCGUUGAAAAAUGAGAUAAGUCGUAACAUAGUAGGGGUACCGGAAGGUGCCCCUGGAAUAUA